rnacentral:rRNA from 1 species
AUUGAACGCUGGCGGCAGGCCUAACACAUGCAAGUCGAGCGGUAGCACAGAGAGCUUGCUCUCGGGUGACGAGCGGCGGACGGGUGAGUAAUGUCUGGGAAACUGCCUGAUGGAGGGGGAUAACUACUGGAAACGGUAGCUAAUACCGCAUAAUGUCGCAAGACCAAAGUGGGGGACCUUCGGGCCUCAUGCCAUCAGAUGUGCCCAGAUGGAUUAGCUAGUAGGUGGGGUAACGGCUCACCUAGGCGACGAUCCCUAGCUGGUCUGAGAGGAUGACCAGCCACACUGGAACUGAGACACGGUCCAGACUCCUACGGGAGGCAGCAGUGGGGAAUAUUGCACAAUGGGCGCAAGCCUGAUGCAGCCAUGCCGCGUGUGUGAAGAAGGCCUUCGGGUUGUAAAGCACUUUCAGCGGGGAGGAAGGCGUUAAGGUUAAUAGCCUUGGCGAUUGACGUUACCCGCAGAAGAAGCACCGGCUAACUCCGUGCCAGCAGCCGCCGUAA